rnacentral:lncRNA from 1 species
AUUAAACCUCUUUUCUUCAUAUUACCCAGUUCCAGGUAGUUCUUUUUAGCAGUGUGAUAUGGAGUCAUAAAUACCCCUAAGCCCUUUUCUUUUGUCAGCUCAGUAGAUUCCCUGAAAUCCGACAGAGGCUUAGACUUCCAGAAGAUCAAAGCCAAGCAAUAUCUAUCUUCAUUUCUAGUGCGUUUCACCAGGGGACAGUGAACACAGAGGCUGCUCACUUUUUAAAUAAGGGACAGGAAUAGGAACAUAAAAUCCUCUGGAAUCUACACCUGACUUUGCUCUGGCAUCCCCACCUGACUUUUCCCUGGUGAUUGGAGAAUGCCUCUCUGUCUCUCCAUCUAGAGCUCUAGGGAGAGGAGCACUCCAGCACAGGAACUUCACAUGAAGAGCUCAGUGGGCGUUGCAUGGCUCACCCCAUGCUGGUUUGCAGAGCUUGAGAGGGGAACACACUGGUUUGGAUUUGAGGCAUGGAGAGGUGGACUCAGAUGAGACUAGGAUUCUCGUGAGGGUGCAGCUGUGCCAAUGAAGCACUUUCCCAUGCCUCAGCAGCCAUGGGGUGUGAAUAGCUCACAGCAUGUUCACAUGCUGAGCCCCGACUCACUCUUCCAGGACCUCUUCAAUGCACCUCCAUCCCUCCCAGAGCUCUCUUGGUGUUUUUGGGUUGGGCUUUUGUGCUCAUUACCAAGGGCAUCCAUGUCAAAUUGCCAUGUGGUUCUCUUCCCCAAUCAGGCCUGGCUCAUGGAGGGCCAUGAACACUGGCAAUGCCACCACCAUGACUGACCCUUGUUAUCAGGGGCUGCUGUUUCCUGUGACAUCUGCCAAUGGCUGAAAAGAAGCUGGGUAAUGGGUUGAAUGGUGACCCCCAAAAGGAAUGUCCAAGUCCUAUCCCCAGUACCUGACCCUCGACUUUUCCACCAGCUUGUCCACUGAUGAAAAGGAGAAGCCAGUCAGGAAUCAGGAGUUGGCUACCUAUCAUGGGAGUAGGCUGGUUAUUCCAGGGUUUGGUCCCCUCUCGCUCUCUUGCUCUUUUAUGCUGCCUUGCCUUCCACCUUCUGCCAUGGGGUGACACACCACAAGGGUCCUCACCAGAUGCCAACACCUCGAUAUUGGACUUCCCAGCCUUCAGAACCAUAAGGCUUCAGUCAAGCAACCUUCCUCAUCAAGUGGACCAGGCACAGCUCCUACUUAUCCCUGAGUAGUGGGUAUCAGUUUCCUGCCAGUCAUGGAGUUGUUCAAAGCCCAUCACAUACUCCGCAGGAACCAGGGGCACCUCACCCUCUUGUUACCACCCGCUGCCCCUGCCUGUUCACUCUGCUCCUGAGGGCAACGCCUGUGUGGCUGGCAUCCAAUGCUGUGUGCACCUCUUCCAAGGUGCAAGUGUAUGUGAAUAAUAACUGCUGUCAAUUUCAUCUUUUAAGCGUCCGGUGUAAUGUGUUUAGUCAUCCUCAUAAUUCUAGUGCGGGAUCUCUCCCUCACCAAUGGGGUGAACAGGAGGGAACGAAAACAACGUGUAAAAUAUCUAGACACUGCAAGGUCCACAUUUAGAGCCCAGAAAAUGUUAGUUAAGGCCAUUAUUGUUUUCAUUUAGAAAAAGGACAAUAAUUUGGGUUUCUCUUAAUGAAAUUUGAUUGGCAGUAUGGUUAGCUCAUUGUAUUAGUCUUAGGUUUCUCCAAAGAGCUUCUCUGGAGUUUUCUUUCCCUCAUUAGUGAUCAUAAAGAUAUGCUAAUCCUCAACUGUGCACCAAAUGGCGGCUGCAUGCUUGAGACCAACACUGAAAAUCAGUCAUGGAAUCCCCGCACAUCUGAACAAGGGCCACGAGAGGAGGCACAAAUGGGUUGAUGGGCUUGACCAGGGUCGCCCAGCAAAUUCACUGCCAGAGCAUAGGAACUAGAUCUCCUGCUCCAACCGUCUUUCCCUGCACCCUCCCAUGUAGUCUAAGGAGGAGAAACGUAAUCACUGUGGUCAGUGAAGACAAGGAUAAGCAUCACUUGGCAAAGCAAUAUGUGUACUUG